GACUUGGGGCCACGCCCCUCGCGGGAGCCCGCAAAUUCCAGCUUAGAGCCGGGCGAGGGGCUACCUGUUGGUGUCGGGUCUCGCGGGAGCGCGAGCUAACGCGGGCGGGCGGCGCGCGUGGGACGACCCUGUGUGCCAGCUGCAGUGCGCUCUCCUCACCAGCACCGGCCCCGCCAGUUUCCUGGGCGGUGUCCGCUGGGAGGUCUCCGGCGGGAACCGUCACUCCGCCCAAUGACCUCUCACUGGGAGCUGGGAUCGGCCGUGCCAGGAGCCAGUGGAAACCAGGAAACUUACACCAUGGAAACCAGGAAACGCUGCAGACCAGAGCCUUUCCUGCCCCCUUAUCAAACUGGUUAUUAGUUACAGCACACCAAUGAAGCCAGCAAAGAUUUUAGAGCCUAAGAUGAAGAUUUUCCAUAUCGUGGGCUGAAGUCAAACAACAGAUG
rnacentral:lncRNA from 1 species